GACGAACGCUGGAGGCGUGCUUAACACAUGCAAGUCGAACGAUGAAAUGGAGCUUGCUCCAUGGAUUAGUGGCGAACGGGUGAGUAACACGUGAAUAACCUGGCCUUAAUUUUGGAAUAACCCAGGGAAACCUGGGCUAAUACCGGAGAAGUAAACCUGUGGCAUCACAUGGUUGUGGAAAGGUUUACGAUUAAGGAUGGAUUCGCGGCCUCUGAGCUGGUUGGUGAGGUAAUGGCUCACCUAGGCGACGGCGGGUAGCCGGCCUGCGAGGGGGAACGGCCACACUGGGACUGAGACACGGCGCAGAAUCCUACGGGAGGCAGCAGUUUGGAAUAUUGAGCAAUGGGCGAGAGUCUGACGCAGCGACGCCUCGUGGGGGACGAAGGUCUUCGGAUUGUAAACCUCUUUCAGCAGGGACGAAGCGAAAGUGCCGGUACCUGCAGAAGAAGCACCGGCUAACUAUGUGCCAGCCGCCGCAGUAA
rnacentral:rRNA from 1 species